CGUGAAGCUGGAAUCGCUAGUAAUCGCGGAUCAGAAUGCCGCGGUGAAUACGUUCCCGGGUCUUGUACACACCGCCCGUCACACCAUGGGAGCCGGAAACGCCCGAAGUCAGUGACCCAACCGUAAGGAGGGAGCUGCCGAAGGUGGAGCCGGUAACUGGGGUGAAGUCGUAACAAGGUAGC
rnacentral:rRNA from 1 species